rnacentral:lncRNA from 1 species
AGUAGUAUAAUUACAUGAUUAACUUGUUCUAUGACAUGAUUUGUAUCUAGGACCACACCUGCUCCAAUAGGUUGUUUGUUUAUUCUUUGAUUCAAUUCAUUCUUUUAGUCUCUUUUUAUUCCUUAGCCCAUAUGCCAUGCCUAGAUUGUGAUGGAUCACUAUUCUACAUAUAAAUGUUUAUCACCUGCUAUGACCUUUGAUUCCAUUAUUGCUAUCAUAAUUACUUUGAUCUAUGCUUAUCUUAGAAUCCUUAACAUAUUAAGUCUUCCUUAGAGCGAACCUAUAAAUAUGACACUCGGUAAAUCCCCGG